UACGUAGGCAGCGAGCGUUGUUCGGAGUUACUGGGCGUAAAGGGUGCGUAGGCGGUUCUUUAAGUUUGGUGUGAAAUCUCCCGGCUCAACCGGGAGGGUGCGUCGAAUACUGAGGGACUAGAGUGCGGGAGAGGAAAGUGGAAUUCCUGGUGUAGCGGUGAAAUGCGUAGAUAUCUGGAGGAAUACCGGUGGCGAAGGCGGCAUCCUGGACCGGCAUUGACGCUGAGGAGCGAAAGCCAGGGGAGCAAACGGG
rnacentral:rRNA from 1 species